GGCUUCCGUUGAUAUAGAGCUAACGAAUAUCGACAUCAACCAAUGUGAUCCAGAUACCAGUAGUUAUAGUGCCCUGGACGUAUUCCGAGGAACCCAUCGAUGUCGUGCGACAACAGAGUGUUGGUUUCUGAAAGGACAAGGUUUUAAAAGAGGUACUUAUCAGUGUGUCUGCAUCAAAGGGUACUACUUUCCAAAUGUGAACGCUCAGGUUAAAGCCUUUAGUGGUCUGGAAGUGGAAAACUCUUCAGAUACCUCUCGGUAUAAAUGUCUACCCUGUAAAGAAGGUUGUAAGGAGUGUGUUGAUGAUUCACCAUGCCUUUACCAGUUCAUGUUUGUAUUCAGGUUCCCGGUCUUACUGGUAACUCUCUUGACGUGUAUCGCCAUAGGAAGUCUGUCUGUCAUCACUAUUGUCUUCAAGAAUGAAUUGGCAAUGAAGACUGGAAGUCCGAUUUUCUUGUUGCUUAUGUGUGCAGGCGGAUUACUGGUAUGCUGUACGGUAG